GACGAACGCUGGCGGCACGCCUAACACAUGCAAGUCGAGCGGAGUAAUUCUUGCACCGAGUAUUUUAUGACUGAGAAGGUCAGGAAUAUUGGGUGUAGGGAUUGCUUAGCGGCGGACGGGUGAGUAACACGUGAGCAACCUGCCUCUAUGAGAGGGAUAACGUUUGGAAACGAACGCUAAUACCACAUAACAUAACGAAGUCGCCUGGCUUUGUUAUCAAAGGAGCAAUCCGCAUAGAGAUGGGCUCGCGUCUGUUUAGAUAGUUGGUGAGGUAACGGCUCACCAAGUCGACGAUCAGUAGCCGGACUGAGAGGUUGAACGGCCACGUUGGGACUGAGACACGGCCCAGACUCCUACGUGAGGCAGCAGUGGGGGAUAUUGGACAAUGGGGGAAACCCUGAUCCAGCGAUGCCGCGUGAGGGAAGAAGGUUUUCGGAUUGUAAACCUCUGUCUUCGGGGACGAUAAUGACGGUACCCGAGGAGGAAGCUCCGGCUAACUACGUGCCAGCAGCCGCGGUAAUACGUAGGGAGCGAGCGUUGUCCGGAAUUACUGGGUGUAAAGGGAGCGUAGGCGGGACGGCAAGUUAGGUGUGAAAACUAUGGGCUCAACCCAUAGCCUGCACUUAAAACUACUGUUCUUGAGUGAAGUAGAGGAUGGCGGAAUUCCCAGUGUAGCGGUGAAAUGCGUAGAUAUUGGGAGGAACACCAGUGGCGAAGGCGGCCAUCUGGGCUUUUACUGACGCUGAGGCUCGAAAGCGUGGGGAGCAAACAGGAUUAGAUACCCUGGUAGUCCACGCUGUAAACGAUGAUUACUAGGUGUGGGGGGAUUGACCCCUUCCGUGCCGCAGUUAACACAAUAAGUAAUCCACCUGGGGAGUACGGCCGCAGGGUUGAAACUCAAAGGAAUCGACGGGGGCCCGCACAAGCAGUGGAGUAUGUGGUUUAAUUCGAAGCAACGCGAAGAACCUUACCAGGUCUUGACAUCGAUUGAAAGGCUAAGAGAUUAGCCCCUCUUUUCGGAGACAAGGAGACAGGUGGUGCAUGGUUGUCGUCAGCUCGUGUCGUGAGAUGUUGGGUUAAGUCCCGCAACGAGCGCAACCCUUACCAUUAGUUGCUACGCAAGAGCACUCUAAUGGGACUGCCGUUGACAAAACGGAGGAAGGUGGGGAUGACGUCAAAUCAUCAUGCCCCUUAUGACCUGGGCUACACACGUACUACAAUGGCAAUUAACAGAGGGAAGCAAAACAGUGAUGUUAAGCAAAUCCCGAAAAAUUGUCUCAGUUCGGAUUGUAGGCUGCAACUCGCCUACAUGAAGUCGGAAUUGCUAGUAAUCGCAGAUCAGCAUGCUGCGGUGAAUACGUUCCCGGGCCUUGUACACACCGCCCGUCACACCAUGGGAGUCGGUAACACCCGAAGCCUGUAGCCCAACCGCGAGGAAGGCGCAGUCGAAGGUGGGAUUGAUGACUGGGGUG
rnacentral:rRNA from 1 species